UACGUAGGGGGCAAGCGUUGUUCGGAAUUACUGGGCGUAAAGGGCGCGUAGGCGGCAUGGCAAGUCAGGAGUGAAAGGCCUGGGCUCAACCGAGGAACUGCUUUUGAUACUGCCAAGCUAGAGUGCGGAAGGGGCAACUGGAAUUCCCAGUGUAGCGGUGAAAUGCGUAGAUAUUGGGAAGAACACCUGAGGCGAAGGCGGGUUGCUGGGCCGACACUGACGCUGAGGCGCAAAAGCCAGGGGAGCAAACGGG
rnacentral:rRNA from 1 species